CAACCCUGCCUUGGCUGGGGUAGAAGCGGCUAACGUCGACACAGGCCGCGUCGCAGCCUCGCCUCGGGGUCGGAAGCGCCCGCCGCGUCCUCCUUCCCUUCUCGAGCCGCCUUCGAGGACGCUUCCCAGACGGGUCCCCACAGCAGACGACAGCGCCCGGAGGGGAGCCCACGGCUCCUCAGCACGCACCCCUCCUCCGCGCGGGGUUCUCACGCACAGCCUCUCCUGCCAUCAUCACAUCUGUUUUCACGACGGGACUGCUAUUUACUUGUCACCGUCUUCCUCCCCUGGAGUAGAACCACCACCAUCGGGAGGAACAUGUCUGCCCGCUGACCAGGGAGCAGACACUCGGUACAGGUCUGCUGGGCAAAUAAACGAAUCCCCUUGAACCUGUAUGAAGAAAGACUAUGAGGGCAUAACAGCUUCUAAGACUCCUCGGAGGGCACUGCAAGUAUCCCACUCCUGACCUGUGGACUGGGUAGCAGGAGGGCAAACGCAAAUUCUGAAGGAUCUCACUUGGAAGCCCACGCUGAGUUCACGCAGUGUGAUGAGUGACGUGCACAACCCGGGAAAGGGAAGGGACGCAGGUGCCCACAGGAGUCUGCCUGCUCAAGCAGCCGGGGACCUCAGCGCCUCCUUGCAAAGCUGGCCUCUCAGAGCCCAUGUGGCUCGGGCCAAAGAAGAGGGCUGGCUGCCAUUUAUUUGCCACCCAAACAACCAAGAGAGAAAAGCAGGGCACAAUCAACACAACUGUACUCGCUCCACCACUGUGCACACUCAGCGCCUGCCCUGGGCAAGAGGCUCUCUGACCCAGUGAAUAUGUUUGGCUAGAAAUGCCCUAAAGUUAACUUUGUAAAAGGGGGAGAAAGAUAUUCAUGGUAGGAAAAUAAAAUUCACGGUUUUGUUUCUUUCAAAAAAAUAAAGUCUUCUUACCUAA